UAUGGUGACACUUUUUCACCCGUUGCCAAAAUUCCAUAAGUUCGUGUCUUUAUUUCCCUUGUAGCACGUUUUGGUUGGCUUCUUCAUUGGCUAGAUGUAAAAAAAUGCCUUCCUUCAUGGUGACUUGUUUGAGAAAGUGUACAUGGAGCAACCACCGGGGUUUGUUGCUUAGAGGGAGAAUUUGGUAUCAAUUUAUCACAGCAAAAAUAUGUACUUAGCAUUCUUGAUGAGGUUGGAUUUCUUGGAGCAAAGCCAAUAGAUACUCCUAUGGAACCCAAUGUGAAACUUGAUGC